GCAAUUUUUGGAGGACAGGUUUCACCGAGAGCUCCUUUUCCGAAGAGAGAGUGAAAGAAUUCCUGAAGAUGAUGGAUGAUGCCAUCGAGGAAAUUGAUCAAGAAACCAAAGAGCAACUGGCAGAGUUUGGGAGCAGGGAGGAAGCUCUGGACGCUGAGAUCCAAACAUUCCGGGACACCAAGACCAAGCUGCAGCACACCAUACAGAUGAAGAGCGACAUGACGGAAAAGAACAAAGAGGAUCUCAAGCAAAUUGAUCAGCAGUUGGGUCGAAUGGAGACCAAUGCCCAUCGACUCAGAGAACUGGAAGAGGAGUUGAAAAGAGCUGAGAGUGAGUUGAAAGAAGCCGAAGGUAGCAUGGAUUUGGACAAGCUAAGGCAGGAGGUACAGGAACUGCAGGUAGAGAAACAACAGCACGACGCUCAAAUGAGUAAACUCAGCAAGGAGAUGUCGGCCAUAUCACUGCAGUCCAAGGCCAGAGCCCAACUGGAGAUGCUGCAGAAAGAGAAGAAUGCCAAAGAGGAGCAAAUCAAAAAGAUCCGGAGUCGUCAUGAAGAGGAUGUGAAUCAUCUCCUUGGUCACUUUCCAACGGAAAGCAUCAGGAACACUCUUGCAGAUUUCCUCGCGUCUAAGGAAGGCGAUAUGCGCAACUCCCAGACUACAUUGCAGCGAAUUAGAGGCCAGUUGAGCACCAAGGAGGCCAAUAGAAGAAUGAUCAUGGAUCAACUCAAGAAGAAGGAGGAGGAGUUGCGAGGUUACGAGGGUCGCAUGAUGCAGGAAUGUGGCAGCCAGGAUGUGACGAACACCUUACAGGAACUCCAGCAAUCCAUUAACAACCUGCAGAGUGAGAAGGGCGCACUAACUGGCAGUUCCCACCUGUUUGAGCGUUACAUCCGGUCUCUGCAGAGGGCCGAGGCCCAGUGCCCGCUGUGCCACAGGGGUUUCGAUGGGCAGAGCGAGGUGGACGAACUCGUACAGGAGCUUCAAGACAAGUUGCGGAUGGCCCCAGCUAAGAUGGCAGAGAAAGACAAGUCCAUUCAGCAGAGCAGAGCUAAGUAUGACAAGUUGAUCGAGCUGAAGCCAGUCAAGGACAGCAUGACUAAGCUGGCUGACCACGAGAUACCGGAGCUGAAGUCCAAACUUGCUGCCGUCAAUGCGGACAUUGCGAAACUCAAGACAGCACUGUCGGAUGAGGAAGAAGUCCUGAGCAUUCUGGAAGUGGAUGUCAGCAUGGCCAAUGAGAUGAAACCCGACAUCUGGCAGAUGGAUAGCUGCCUGAGGGAACUGAAAGAUCUGGAGAGGAGGCUAGCUGUGCAGUCACAGCAGCUGUCAGGAGCGGAUGCAGGUCGGACCAUUCAGCAAGUGAACGCUGAGAGACAGGACCUGGAGAUCAAGCUUGACACCGUCAACCGGACACUGGACCACAAACAGGGCCAGAUCAACCAGCAGAGCGAGACGCUGCAGGUGCUGGGCGCCAGUGUCAACAGCAUCACCAGCGAGAAGCUGCGGCUGAGCGGCGAGCUGCAGCAGCAGGAAAAGCUGCAGGGCCAGCGGGCCGAGCUGGCCGCCGCCAACCAGGGCUACGCCCGGGAGAUCACGGAUGCCAGAAAACAAGUCCAUCCAGUUGAACGCAAGUUGGACAAACUGACCGAGGACAAGACGGCCCUGAUGAAGGAGAAACAGAAGAAGUCUGAGGAGCAGGCGGCACAUCGGGAUGCAGUACGUCGGAAGCGGCAUGACGUCAAAGCCUACACGUCCUCCAUUGAAAGUUAUGUCUCGGAUGGCAAGGAGGAGAAACUUGAGAAAGGCCGCACUGAGAUAGCGUCCUUCAACGACAAGCUGGCAGAGAUAAUAAGGGAGAAGAAGGAGGUGACGUCCACCAUUAGCCAGUUGAACGAGGAUCUGGCCAUGCGUCAGGUAAGGGAGCGAGAGUUGUCGGAUAACAUCCAGCUGCGUAAGAAGGCCACCGAGAUCACCAAGGUGCAGCAGAACCUGAGUAAGCUGGAGGAGCAGCUGGGAGGCAUUGACCAGGAACACGUCAAGGAGGAGAAGAGAACACUGAACUCCAAGGCAGGCAGUCUGAACAAAGAGAAAAACCAGGCGGACGGUCGGCAAGUCGUGCUGAAAGAAGAGGUCAAGAAAGUGGAGAAGGAACUUGCCUCGGACAUGUACAACAAUGCUGAUGACAAAUACAAUGACAUGAUGAUCCAGCUCAGGACUACAGAUAUUGCCAAUGAUGAUCUGGACAAGUAUUCCAAGGCAUUGAACAGAGCAAUCAUGAAUUACCACCAGAUGAAGAUGGCUGAGAUCAACAAGAUCAUCAGAGACCUGUGGCGAGUCACCUACAAGGGACAAGACAUUGAUUACGUCGAGAUCCGCUCCGAUGAAGACAUCGGAGGGACCCAGCAACGCAAGAACUACAACUACAGAGUUGUCAUGGUGAAGGGGGAGACAUCGCUAGACAUGAGAGGGCGCUGUAGCGCUGGUCAAAAGGUCCUGGCCUCCUUGAUCAUCCGGCUGGCACUAGCCGAGACAUUCUGCCUGAGCUGUGGCAUUCUAGCCCUGGAUGAGCCCACCACCAACCUGGACAAAGAGAACAUUGAGAGCCUGGCCCAGGCCUUGGUGGACAUCAUUAAGAGUCGGGAGCAGCAGCGUAACUUCCAGCUGAUCAUCAUCACCCACGAUGAGGACUUUGUGGAGCUCCUGGGUCACUCGGACUAUGCCGACUACUUCUACCGUGUCACCAAGAAUGAUGAAUACAAGUCCACUGUUUCCCGGCGUGAGAUUGCUACACUGCAGGCCGUGGGCUGAUGACAGAUGACUGUUUCACCAUGAGAAGACCUGGCCGUGGGAUGUACGAGUUUAGGCAGUUAAUGGCUAUGGCUAGCUUGCUGCCUGGAGGUGGCGUAUGUAUCAAGAACUCAAUCAAAUCCAAGAAGGAUAUAAGAUGCAGGCCCUUUUGAUUCUUCAAUCUGACUUUCAUCUUGCCUGAUCCUUCAUCAGUGCUCCGAGAGGCGGUACUUUUAUGCCAACAAGGGGAUAGGUGUGUGAAGUUAAAAUAAGUAGGCUAUAUAAGAUAACAUUUAUUAACAAUUGCUGUAUUUGCACAAAACAAAUGGUCAUUUUCAUGCUGUUAUUUUGAACGAAAAGCAAAUACAAACUGUUCAAACGUGUUGACUUUUUAAAAUUGGAACAUUUUGAUUUCUAAAAAAGGAAAAAGUUGUAAUUAAUUAAUGGAAAAUUCC